UUAGCGGCUGGGUCGACUUCGCGUGUGACCACGAGGUAUUCACGCAAUGCGAUGGCGUGCAGAUGCUC
rfam:Mycobacterium xenopi 3993 GMX3993.contig.3, whole genome shotgun sequence.